ensembl:lncRNA
GUAGGAUCCUCUUUUCCUUCCUGUGCGGUUUCUCAUUGGCAGAAGUUUUCAACAAGAAAAUAUAUUUUGAGGUAUGAAAGUCACGUUCUUGAUGACGUGUUUUUCCUUCUUCUGCUGUCUAAAGCUUAAGCAACUUCGGGUUUAAUUUUACGUCAUUUUAUCUCCAAUUUAUUGGUUAUAAAUCAGCGUAAACAAUGUAUGUGUCAGGCCUGCCUCGGCAGGCUCCGACUAGGGCUCCUCCCUCCUCUGGUUUGUUUUACUUUUUAGGUGUUGUGUACGGUGGCACCGGCGGCAGGUGAGAGCAAUCCGGUGCACCUGUAGAAACAGGAACAGGUGUGCCAGGACCAAUCGGUCAUCGACCUCUACACCAUUUAUUGGGACUCCAGUCAUCAGUUCGACGCCGGAUCGUGAAUGCUCACAUUCGGACCCCACCUGCUCUGCUGACUGAGCCAUCUUGCCAACUGGACUCAUCAAAGCCCUGCGUUCCAAGCCGACUUCCGGAUCACUCCGUCACUCUUCAGUCCUCCGUCCAAAUCUCCAUCUGCUGUCGCUGCCGAGAACACCAGCUCCUGCCCUCAGCACAUUAGCCUCAACACGAGCAGUUUCUAGUUUUGUUGUUAGAGUUUCGUUUGUCCUUGGUCUUGGAUUGUUUGUGGUACUGGCUAACUGAUUUACCCGGUACUUUUGUUAGUAGAUGUAGUUUAUAGUGUAAUGAUUGCGAACUUCGUUUUCAGUGAGCUACGUGUUUCAUAGCCUCGAGUUCCACCUUAGUUUAGUAUAGCUUGUGGCUUCUUAGUUAUAGUUCAUUCUCUGUAUGUAGUGAUCAUAGUUGCGCCUUUGCUUCGAGUUAUCCCUAGUUUGGUGUGCUUAGGUGCUCAACUAAUCUUCAGCAUUAGCAAUCAUAGUUCUUAACUCUCCUGCCCAGGUUGUGCCUGCCGUGGGUCAGUUCUUUGUUUCGAGAAUUGUAGUUCGUACCGCCCGCCAUUAGGGGCACUCUAGCUCUGAAGUUGAGUUACGAUAUUUGUUUCCUUUUCUGGAUACUAGACCUUAGGGCAUUGUAGUCCCCGCCACCUUUUGUUAUUAUAAUAAAUCAUUGUGUUAGCACCCGUUGUCUCCUUCUCUUUUCCUGCGCCU